rnacentral:rRNA from 1 species
UAGGGAAUCUUCGGCAAUGGACGAAAGUCUGACCGAGCAACGCCGCGUGAGUGAAGAAGGUUUUCGGAUCGUAAAACUCUGUUGUUAGAGAAAAACAAGGACGUUAGUAACUGAACGUCCCCUGACGGUAUCUAACCAGAAAGCACCGGCUAACUACGUGCCAGCAGCCGCGGUAAUACGUAGGUGGCAAGCGUUGUCCGGAUUUAUUGGGCGUAAAGCGAGCGCAGGCGGUUUCUUAAGUCUGAUGUGAAAGCCCCCGGCUCAACCGGGGAGGGUCAUUGGAAACUGGGAGACUUGAGUGCAGAAGAGGAGAGUGGAAUUCCAUGUGUAGCGGUGAAAUGCGUAGAUAUAUGGAGGAACACCAGUGGCGAAGGCGGCUCUCUGGUCUGUAACUGACGCUGAGGCUCGAAAGCGUGGGGAGCAAACAGG